UGCGCCAGCUGGUCGGCUGGCGCGGCGGCGGUCUGCGGCGGUGUCGGCGCCGCGGGCGCUGCAGGUUCGCCGUCUGCCGGCGCAG
rnacentral:tRNA from 1 species